UUAUUUCAGAGGGAGAGAGAGAGUCAUCCAAUUCCCAAACGUGAGCUCGAGAAAUCGUCUGCUUGUUGGAGAAAUUAUCAUCCAAAUCUCUGGUCGCUUUGCGCAUGGAUGAUUCUUCCGAUCAAGAAAAGGACGUCAAUUCCUCGUCGUAUCAUCAAGAAUGGAGGGACGAUCUUUUGGCACGCAGAGCGCAGGAAUCGCUUAAGAAAAAACUGGUUCUUGAAGAUGAUUUCGCGUGGGGAGUGCCCUCGCAAGGUUUGGCAUCCGGGGAUGGGUCAACGAGGGAGAAGCUCAAGUACAUCGGAGGAGUUGAUAUAAGCUUCUUAAAGAAGGAUCCUUCGGUGUCGUGCGGUGCUCUUGUGGUGCUGGAUGCUGAUACUAUGGACGUUGUGCACGAAGAGUUUGAGGUUACCCGUCUGCAGGUUCCGUAUGUUCCUGGCUUUCUUGCAUUCAGAGAGGCUCCAAUGCUUCUGGGGCUUCUGAACAAAAUGAAAGCAAAUGCUCAUCCUUUCUAUCCUCAGUUACUGAUGGUUGAUGGCAAUGGAUUGCUUCAUCCUCGAGGUCUUGGUCUAGCUUGUCAUCUUGGGAUCCUGGCUAAUCUUCCAACUAUUGGAAUCGGGAAAAAUUUGCAUCAUGUUGACGGACUAACUCAGUCUGCGGUGCGACAAAGUUUAGAAGCAAGAGAAAACUAUGACAAGGAUCUGAUCUUCUUAACUGGAAAGUCUGGGAAAACUUGGGGAGUGGCAAUGCGAUCCAUUCUUGGGUCAUCAAAACCUAUUUAUGUGUCAAUUGGUCAUCGGAUAUCACUUGAUUCUGCCAUUAGCAUCGUCAAAACAUGCUGCAAAUAUCGCAUUCCUGAGCCAAUUCGACAGGCUGAUAUAAGAUCCAAGAUGUUCCUUCAGAAGUUCAAAGGACUGUAGACCUUGGUAUGAUGAUCUUCUCUUCUAUUUUGUUUUUUCUUUGUUUUCCUUUUCUGAGAUUUUCAGAUGUGGAAAAUAAUAAAAUUAACACAUUUGUGGGGCUUUUAUAGAUCACCUGUUGUUUAGUUCUGCUCUUUAAAGUUGCUAGCUAGUUUAAACUUCCAAACUGUGAUAUGCAUAUUAUGUUAUAUCUUCAUCCUUCUGUGUUAGUGGUCAUCUGUUGAUCUUUCUUAUUUGUUAUUUCAUUAUGAUUAACCAAUAUCUGUAUUGUUCGGUGUUAAUUAUUACCUUACGACACGCACCACUAAAUCAGCCAUAAGAUAGAGAACUUAUUUAUGAUACACACAUAUCUGUUCCUGUAACUAAAAUAGAUAGAAUGUCUCUAUUCUUGGACUUUUUGAGUGGUUCUCUUUGGGUUUAUGAUGUAAUUAGUAUCAACUAUCUAGAUUCUAUAAUUCUCCAGCUUGUUACCACUAAAUAGGGAAAAGUCUGCUUUUUCUUCUUUGUAUGUCCUUACCAGUUUAUCAGAUUAUGCAUAGAUGUAUAAGAAAUGUAAUUUUACUGAUUAAACAUGAUAAUUUGCUUCACCUUUGUAAAUCGAAUAAACAAAUGAUGAGUCGAACCUGCAAAAGGUGCUUGGAACCCGUCGAGAGGAUACUUAUCGCAAAUUUAUGGAUGAAUUAUCGGAUUUAACAGAAUAGAACAUGUGCAACAGUGCAAGUACAUUCUAGAUUCUCAACCUUAUGCAAAUCUUCAGGCUCCUCUCUUAUUACUAAGUCUAUUGUACAUGAUUGACCAUAGUAAAAACAGAUGCUGCUCCUCCUCGGAUUCUUGGUCAUAAGUUGGACACCAAGGCCAUCUAUCUAUCAGAGGCAUCAAGAGGGCAUGAAGACCUACCUACGCUUAGAAAGAACUCUUUCCAACAUGAAGGCUUAGCUCAAUUGGACCUUUUCUUGUUCGACAACGACGAUGCGAUGAUUUUUUUUAUGUGAAGGCAUAGCUCAAAGGUAACUUUUAAGAUGAAUUUUCAGUUUGGAGGAUAAGCUCAAAUGAAAAUACAUGGCAAUCAAGGGAAACUCCCAUCAAUCAAAGCUGAGUCAGUUGCUGCUGUUCAUGAUCAUAUUAGCAGGUUGUCAAUGUUCUUUUUUAGCACUGUGAGCAGUCAUUUUUGUUGUUAUUAUUAGUAUCACCAUAAAUGCAAAGAUGAGGAUGAAAAAGAGACAUCUUUGGUUCAAACAAUUAAAUAUAUUUUCAACAACAUUUUUCUCAA